rnacentral:rRNA from 1 species
UACGUAGGGUGCGAGCGUUGUCCGGAAUUAUUGGGCGUAAAGAGCUCGUAGGCGGUGUGUCACGUCGGCCGUGAAAACCUGCAGCUUAACUGUGGGCUUGCGGUCGAUACGGGCAUCACUGGAGUUCGGCAGGGGAGACUGGAAUUCCUGGUGUAGCGGUGAAAUGCGUAGAUAUCAGGAGGAACACCGGUGGCGAAGGCGGGUCUCUGGGCCGAUACUGACGCUGAGGAGCGAAAGCGUGGGGAGCGAACAGG